GACGAACGCUGGCGGCGUGCUUAACACAUGCAAGUCGAACGGAAAGGCCCUGCUUUUGUGGGGUGCUCGAGUGGCGAACGGGUGAGUAACACGUGAGUAACCUGCCCUUGACUUUGGGAUAACUUCAGGAAACUGGGGCUAAUACCGGAUAGGAGCUCCUGCUGCAUGGUGGGGGUUGGAAAGUUUCGGCGGUUGGGGAUGGACUCGCGGCUUAUCAGCUUGUUGGUGGGGUAGUGGCUUACCAAGGCUUUGACGGGUAGCCGGCCUGAGAGGGUGACCGGCCACAUUGGGACUGAGAGACGGCCCAGACUCCUACGGGAGGCAGCAGUGGGGAAUAUUGCACAAUGGGCGGAAGCCUGAUGCAGCAACGCCGCGUGCGGGAUGACGGCCUUCGGGUUGUAAACCGCUUUCGCCUGUGACGAAGCGUGAGUGACGGUAAUGGGUAAAGAAACACCGGCUAACUACGU
rnacentral:rRNA from 1 species